GUAAAGGAAAAAACUGGGAUGAAAUUAGGAGAAAGGGGUAGGAGAAAAGAUGAAAAACAAAGAGAUAAGAUGAAGGAUAAAUGUGGAGGAAAUGCUCAUUACAACCCAAAGUCCCAAAACAUUAAGCAAAAACGCAAAUUAAGUUUGAUUUCAGAAACAAAAUGGAGUAUGAUCACAAAGCAUUGAAGAAGCGGUGGUGUAGGAGCAAAUGGUGGUGUUGGGACGGUGGAGAUGAUGAGGGAGAAAGAUGGAAUUUUAUCAAAAAUAGAGGAUAUUUUUGUCUAAUUACUUUAAAAAUGAAACUGAAGCACCGUGUGUCAGUUUGAAACUGACACACGGUAGACGCAGCCGAUUUGUUUGUUUUGAUCAUGGUGUUUUAUCUGUUGAGCAUUGGGUUAAGAAUCAUUGAGUUUUGUACAAUCAAAUAAUCACUUUGGUAGUUUGGUUCAUAUAUGAUAUAACUAUGGAA
rnacentral:lncRNA from 1 species